ensembl:lncRNA
CUCUGACAGUUCCUCACCUCAGAUACAGCACAUCACUUGAGACCAUAGUUGGUUACUAAGGUACUAAUGUCACUGACCAGGUAGUUACUAAGUUACUGACCAGGGAGUUACUAAGGUCACUGACCAGGGAGUUACUAAAGUCACUGACCAGGUAGUUACUAAAGUCACUGACCAGGGAGUUACUAAAGUCACUGACCAGGGAGUUACUAAGUUACUGUCCAGGGAGUUACUAAGUUACUGACCAGGGAGUUACUAAGUCACUGACCAGGGAGUUACUAAGUUACUGACCAGGGAGUUACUAAAUUACUAACCAGGGAGUUACUAAGUUACUGACCAGGUAGUUACUAAGGUACUGACCAGGUAGUUACUAAGGUCACUAACCAGGUAGUUACUAAGGUCACUAACCAGGGAGUUACUAAGGUCACUGACCAGGGAGUUACUAAGUUACUGAUCAGGGAGUUACUAAGGACACUGAUCAGGUGGUUACUAAGAUACUGACCAGGUAGGUACUAAGUUACUGACCAGGGAGUUACUAAGGUACUAAGGUCACUGACCAGGACAACAUUCUGGACAAACAAGUCCGAUCCCACGGAUCCACCUCGGUCGCAACUUACAGGACGUAAAGGAUCUGCCGCUAACGUCUCAGCGCCAGAUCCCACAGCACACCUUCGGAGGUCUUGUUGAGUCCGUACCUCGAGGUGUCGGAGCCGUUCUGGCACGAGGAGAGGCGGACCGCCC